GGAGAGGAGGCUACAUCAGCGAGAACACUGCAGUUCAUGUUACAAAUGGUCGUUCUUUUAUUUUGGGUAUGAACUGUCUGGAGCACGUGUUCACACAGUUUCUCCUUAUGGCUGUGUCUCGAAGGCUUAGAACACAUUGGUAAUAAGAAUUAGAAGCUUUGGCUGGAAACUUUGGGCUGCUAGAGAGGCAGCAUCAAAAAGCAGAUAUAAUUACCUGUCUCCCAUUCUGCCCAGACCGAUGAUUCGUGAUCUGUUCUUAACAGCUGGCCAGAAAGAGCCAUGAAAGGAGUAUUAUAGGCAAAGGCCACCGAUCAAGUACAGACAAUGCCCUUGACGAUCGUCGUGUCUUGAGAACACAAGAUGGCGAGAGGUCCUCGUGGAAAGAAUCACACUAGCUGAGCCUGGCCUGAAAGAUGACCACGUGAUUGGCAGUAGUGUUCUCUGAAGCUGACUUGUUGAUGUUAACUGAGUAGCUCAAGAUUGGAGAUGCCUUCUUUCCACUGUCCAAACUGACAUACCCAGCCUGCCAUGAUUAGAUGUGACUCGUCCCCCAAGGACAUUUGGUUCCUGGCUGUCUCUGUCCUCGGAAUAAAUAAAGCCCCUCAAGCCAUGAUGCCAUCUGCCAUGAGACCCUCCAUCGAGGCUGAAAGACUAAGGUUG